rnacentral:rRNA from 1 species
UGCAAGUCGAGCGAACAGACAAGGAGCUUGCUCCUUUGACGUUAGCGGCGGACGGGUGAGUAACACGUGGGUAACCUACCUAUAAGACUGGGAUAACUUCGGGAAACCGGAGCUAAUACCGGAUAAUAUUUCGAACCGCAUGGUUCGAUAGUGAAAGAUGGUUUUGCUAUCACUUAUAGAUGGACCCGCGCCGUAUUAGCUAGUUGGUAAGGUAACGGCUUACCAAGGCGACGAUACGUAGCCGACCUGAGAGGGUGAUCGGCCACACUGGAACUGAGACACGGUCCAGACUCCUACGGGAGGCAGCAGUAGGGAAUCUUCCGCAAUGGGCGAAAGCCUGACGGAGCAACGCCGCGUGAGUGAUGAAGGUCUUCGGAUCGUAAAACUCUGUUAUUAGGGAAGAACAUACGUGUAAGUAACUAUGCACGUCUUGACGGUACCUAAUCAGAAAGCCACGGCUAACUACGUGCCAGCAGCCGCGGUAAUACGUAGGUGGCAAGCGUUAUCCGGAAUUAUUGGGCGUAAAGCGCGCGUAGGCGGUUUUUUAAGUCUGAUGUGAAAGCCCACGGCUCAACCGUGGAGGGUCAUUGGAAACUGGAAAACUUGAGUGCAGAAGAGGAAAGUGGAAUUCCAUGUGUAGCGGUGAAAUGCGCAGAGAUAUGGAGGAACACCAGUGGCGAAGGCGACUUUCUGGUCUGUAACUGACGCUGAUGUGCGAAAGCGUGGGGAUCAAACAGGAUUAGAUACCCUGGUAGUCCACGCCGUAAACGAUGAGUGCUAAGUGUUAGGGGGUUUCCGCCCCUUAGUGCUGCAGCUAACGCAUUAAGCACUCCGCCUGGGGAGUACGACCGCAAGGUUGAAACUCAAAGGAAUUGACGGGGACCCGCACAAGCGGUGGAGCAUGUGGUUUAAUUCGAAGCAACGCGAAGAACCUUACCAAAUCUUGACAUCCUUUGACAACUCUAGAGAUAGAGCCUUCCCCUUCGGGGGACAAAGUGACAGGUGGUGCAUGGUUGUCGUCAGCUCGUGUCGUGAGAUGUUGGGUUAAGUCCCGCAACGAGCGCAACCCUUAAGCUUAGUUGCCAUCAUUAAGUUGGGCACUCUAAGUUGACUGCCGGUGACAAACCGGAGGAAGGUGGGGAUGACGUCAAAUCAUCAUGCCCCUUAUGAUUUGGGCUACACACGUGCUACAAUGGACAAUACAAAGGGCAGCGAAACCGCGAGGUCAAGCAAAUCCCAUAAAGUUGUUCUCAGUUCGGAUUGUAGUCUGCAACUCGACUACAUGAAGCUGGAAUCGCUAGUAAUCGUAGAUCAGCAUGCUACGGUGAAUACGUUCCCGGGUCUUGUACACACCGCCCGUCACACCACGAGAGUUUGUAACACCCGAAGCCGGUGGAGUAACCAUUUGGAGCUAGCCGUCGAAGGUGGGACAAAUGAUUGGGGUGAAGACGUAAC